GGUACCCCCACCCCUUCACCCAGAUCAGCCCGCUGGCCCAGGUACCCCCACCCCUUCACCCAGAUCAGCCCGCUGGCCCAGGUACCCCCACGCCUUCACCCAGAUCAGCCAGCUGUACCCCCACUCCUUCACCCAGAUCAGCCCGCUGUACCCCCACGCCUUCACCCAGAUCAGCCCGCUGUACCCCCACUCCUUCACCAGCCUGGUCUAAAGGAAAGGGCAGUUUAUAUGUCGAGUGCUUCAUGUUGUGUUGGUCAUACUUAAGAAAGAUGUAUUGCUUUUUUAAUGAAUAACACAGAACAUAAGGGACUUAAUCAAUUAAAAAAAACUAAAAA